AUUGAACGCUGGCGGCAGGCCUAACACAUGCAAGUCGAACGGUAACAGGAAGAAGCUUGCUUCUUUGCUGACGAGUGGCGGACGGGUGAGUAAUGUCUGGGGAACUGCCUGAUGGAGGGGGAUAACUACUGGAAACGGUAGCUAAUACCGCAUAACGUCGCAAGACCAAAGAGGGGGACCUUCGGGCCUCUUGCCAUCGGAUGUGCCCAGAUGGGAUUAGCUCGUAGGUGGGGUAACGGCUCACCUAGGCGACGAUCCCUAGCUGGUCUGAGAGGAUGACCAGCCACACUGGAACUGAGACACGGUCCAGACUCCUACGGGAGGCAGCAGUGGGGAAUAUUGCACAAUGGGCGCAAGCCUGAUGCAGCCAUGCCGCGUGUAUGAAGAAGGCCUUCGGGUUGUAAAGUACUUUCAGCGGGGAGGAAGGGAGUAAAGUUAAUACCUUUGCUCAUUGACGUUACCCGCAGAAGAAGCACCGGCUAACUCCGUG
rnacentral:rRNA from 1 species